rnacentral:rRNA from 1 species
UAAAGCAAUCUGCCCAUCGGCCUGGGAUAACAGUUGGAAACGACUGCUAAUACCGGAUAGGUGAUGAAGAGGCAUCUCUUGAUCAUUAAAGUUGGGAUACAACACGGAUGGAUGAGCUUAUGGCGUAUUAGCUGGUAGGUGAGGUAACGGCUCACCUAGGCGAUGAUACGUAGCCGACCUGAGAGGGUGACCGGCCACAUUGGGACUGAGACACGGCCCAA